UACAGAGGUCUCAACCGUUGUUCGGAUUCAUUGGGCGUAAAGGGUGCGUAGGCGGUCGUGCAAGUCGGAUGUGAAAUCUCAGGGCUCAACCCUGAAACUGCAUUCGAUACUGCGUGGCUAGAGUGCUGGAGAGGAGACUGGAAUUUACGGUGUAGCGGUGAAAUGCGUAGAUAUCGGAAGGAACAUCAGUGGCGAAAGCGACUUCCUGGACCAAUACUGACGCUCAUGUGCGAAAGCGUGGGGAGCAAACAGG
rnacentral:rRNA from 1 species